rnacentral:misc_RNA from 1 species
AAAAUGGUAGCAUAGUAGGCUUAGAGCCAACUUUCACACCAGAAGGUGUUUCUUCUUUUACCUCUAGAAGAGAGUUCUUGGAAGUGUCAGUUUUACCAGUACUAUCAGACGAAUUCAAGAUCGAUUUCUGGCUCAACCCAGAACAUUUGGUUUUGGAUUCAUUUUCAUUAGAUAAAGAUGAUGGCUCAGCACAGAUAGGUGAAGGAGGUUGGAACAUAGAGUUCCACCUCUUCUUAAUAGGGAUACCUGACGAAGAGUUACUAGACUGCCGAGCAAGAACACCAGGCUCUUCGUUCCCGGAAACCGGCAUGGUUCUAAAGCUUUUUAUCUCCAGAAAAUAUCACUCUACUACAACGAAGAAGUUCAACACAUCUGAAAAACUAGAUCACAGUCCUCUAA